GAUGAAGAACGUAGCGAAAUGCGACAAGUAGUGUGAAUUGCAGAAUUCAGUGAAUCAUCGAAUCUUUGAACGCACAUUGCGCCCCUUGGUAUCCCGAGGGGCAUGCCUGUUCGAGCGUCAUUUCACCACUCAAGCCUGGCUUGGUGUUGGGCGACGUCCUCUUUGGGGACGCGCCUCGAAACGCUCGGCGGCGUGGCACCGGCUUUAAGCGUAGCAGAAUCUUUCGCUUUGGAAGUCGGGGCCCCGUCUGCCGGAAGACCUGCUCGCAAGGUUGACCUCGGAUCAGGCAGGGAUACCCGCUGAACUUAAGCAUAUCAAUAAGCGGAGGA
rnacentral:misc_RNA from 1 species